UGGGGAAUAUUGGACAAUGGGCGAAAGCCUGAUCCAGCAAUGCCGCGUGAAUGACGAAGGCCUUAGGGUUGUAAAGUUCUUUUAGUAGGGAAGAUAAUGACGGUACCUACAGAAAAAGCCCCGGCUAACUCCGUGCCAGCAGCCGCGGUAAGACGGAGGGGGCUAGCGUUGUUCGGAAUUACUGGGCGUAAAGAGCGCGUAGGCGGUUUGGUAAGUUGGAAGUGAAAGCCCGAGGCUUAACCUCGGAAUUGCUUUCAAAACUGCUAAUCUAGAGUGUAGUAGGGGAUGAUGGAAUUCCUAGUGUAGAGGUGAAAUUCUUAGAUAUUAGGAGGAACACCGAUGGCGAAGGCAGUCAUCUGGGCUACAACUGACGCUAAUGCGCGAAAGCGUGGGGAGCAAACAGG
rnacentral:rRNA from 1 species